rnacentral:rRNA from 1 species
AGGACGAACGCUGGCGGCGUGCUUAACACAUGCAAGUCGAGCGGAAAGGCCCUUCGGGGUACUCGAGCGGCGAACGGGUGAGUAACACGUGAGUAAUCUGCCCCUAGCUCUGGGAUAGCUCCGGGAAACCGGGAUUAAUACCAGAUACGACCACUUUAGACAUCUUCUGUGGUGGAAAGAACUUCGGCUAGGGAUGAACUCGCGGCCUAUCAGCUUGUUGGUGAGGUAACGGCUCACCAAGGCGACGACGGGUAGCCGGCCUGAGAGGGCGACCGGCCACACUGGGACUGAGACACGGCCCAGACUCCUACGGGAGGCAGCAGUGGGGAAUAUUGCGCAAUGGGCGAAAGCCUGACGCAGCGACGCCGCGUGGGGGAUGAAGGCCUUCGGUUGUAACCCUUUCAGCAGGACGAAGCGAAAGUGACGGUACCUGCAGAAGAAGCGCCGGCUAACUACGUGCCAGCAGCCGC